AGUAUCCGAAGAAAAAGCAUCGGCUAACUCCGUGCCAGCAGCCGCGGUAAUACGGAGGAUGCGAGCGUUAUCCGGAUUUAUUGGGUUUAAAGGGUGCGUAGGCGGCACGCCAAGUCAGCGGUGAAAUUUCCGGGCUCAACCCGGAGUGUGCCGUUGAAACUGGCGAGCUAGAGUACACAAGAGGCAGGCGGAAUGCGUGGUGUAGCGGUGGAAUGCAUAGAUAUCACGCAGAACCCCGAUUGCGAAGGCAGCCUGCUAGGGUGAAACAGACGCUGAGGCACGAAAGCGUGGGUAUCGAACAGGAUUAGAUACCCUGGUAGUCCACGCAGUAAACGAUGAAUACUAACUGUUUGCGAUACAAUGUAAGCGGUACAGCGAAAGCGUUAAGUAUUCCACCUGGGGA
rnacentral:rRNA from 1 species